GAUGAACGCUGGCGGCGUGCCUAAUACAUGCAAGUCGAGCGAACGGACGAGAAGCUUGCUUCUCUGAUGUUAGCGGCGGACGGGUGAGUAACACGUGGAUAACCUACCUAUAAGACUGGGAUAACUUCGGGAAACCGGAGCUACUACCGGAUAAUAUUUUGAACCGCAUGGUUCAAAAGUGAAAGACGGUCUUGCUAUCACUUAUAGAUGGAUCCGCGCUGCAUUAGCUAGUUGGUAAGGUAACGGCUUACCAAGGCAACGAUGCAUAGCCGACCUGAGAGGGUGAUCGGCCACACUGGAACUGAGACACGGUCCAGACUCCUACGGGAGGCAGCAGUAGGGAAUCUUCCGCAAUGGGCGAAAGCCUGACGGAGCCACGCCGCGUGAGUGAUGAAGGUCUUCGGAUCGUAAAACUCUGUUAUUAGGGAAGAACAUAUGUGUAAGUAACUGUGCACAUCUUGACGGUACCUAAUCAGAAAGCCACGGCUAACUACGUG
rnacentral:rRNA from 1 species